UGGGGAAUAUUGGACAAUGGGCGAAAGCCUGAUCCAGCCAUGCCGCGUGUGUGAAGAAGGUCUUCGGAUUGUAAAGCACUUUAAGUUGGGAGGAAGGGCAGUAAGUUAAUACCUUGCUGUUUUGACGUUACCGACAGAAUAAGCACCGGCUAACUCUGUGCCAGCAGCCGCGGUAAUACAGAGGGAGCAAGCGUUAAUCGGAAUUACUGGGCGUAAAGCGCGCGUAGGUGGUUUGUUAAGUUGGAUGUGAAAGCCCCGGGCUCAACCUGGGAACUGCAUCCAAAACUGGCAAGCUAGAGUACGGUAGAGGGUGGUGGAAUUUCCUGUGUAGCGGUGAAAUGCGUAGAUAUAGGAAGGAACACCAGUGGCGAAGGCGACCACCUGGACUGAUACUGACACUGAGGUGCGAAAGCGUGGGGAGCAAACA
rnacentral:rRNA from 1 species